UCAUAGCUUAGCCCUUCCUCUCGGGUUUAAGAACAGGGGAAAGCCCUUACUAAGCAGCUUUCAGUAGAACGUAUUUUCCUUGGGGAUUGGUCCCUAAAGACCAGAGCUAUAGCAGCAGUUAAUUAAAUAAGGAGUCAGUGCAAUUAAAAUUUUGCAGAAGCCGGCUUGGUGGUGGGGUGGAGGAACCCAGGUUAAAGUCCACCAAGCUGGUUGGUAAAUUUCAGCCCUACUUAACUCGCAGGGUAGUUUGAUGGAUGAAGUGCUGUAUACAAAGUUUUGUGUGACUACAGGAGGAGGAGGAUGCAACUGUUUGUGAUAGCCUUGCACUCCUGCUCAAUGUACGUGCUCAGUGUACGUUUUUCUGUGGCUGCAAGUUGGCAGCUGGCUUUUCCAGGUGAGCCCUGCAGCACUAGUGCAGCGCAGCUGCUUCGGGUGAAGACUCAGGCACAGCUUGGUACAGAAUCUCAUUUUAUUUUCAUCUUUCAAAUUAUGACGUGGGGAGAAGAGAAACGUGCAGCUGUAAGAGCAGUAGACUGAAUGUCACCGGGAUUGUUAUACGCCUGCCAACACACUUUCAGCCAAUAGAAUAUUUGAGUUGGAGGUGGAGAAACAUACAUAUACUGGAUAAUAGUUGUCAUUAAGAUUCCAGUAAAACAGAGUCCCGGAAUAGUGGGUAGAGGCUGCAUAGAUCUAGCGGUACUGAAAACCUAAUCUUGAGGUCUAUCCCGAUGGAGCCUGGCUGUAGGCUCUUUAUCGUUGGAAAUGCCUCAUAGAGUGACAGACUUGUGAUUCCAUUUUACCCAUUAAGCUUCUUGUUUGAUGGGUGGGGUAAAAUUACAAGACAAUAAAGAUCUUAGGAUAGUCCCAGGAUAUUCCUCCUUAAGAAUGGCCAUGAAGAAAUGCUUUCUCAACCUGCAGGUGGGGACGCAGCAUCAGUCCUUUGGGCCCUUCUGAAAACGCGUUCGCGAAAAGCAAUGAGCCAUUAUUGAAAUACCCACCAGGAAAUCUCAGCUGGCAUCUGCAAGGUUGGCUGAAAGUGGGCUCAAGCUAAAGGUAAAAAUGAAGGCUGUGGAGGGUGCUGUACAGAAGGUCACUUCAAAGAGGGCUGUGGGCUGAUGAACACGCAGCUCUUAACGCGGUGACCUUAUAUGGAAAUCCUCUGUAGGAUAUCAAGGCUAUUUGGAGUGCUCUGAUCUAUACGAGGAGACACAUUUGUGAAUCAAAAGUAGUUGGAUGGGUCCCUUGUAUGGCAUCUAGGAUGAACGGUUAAAUGGAGAUGAGGUUGAAUAAUGGCUUGAAAGGAAACAGUCCCUGCAAUAAAUGCCAGUCACUGUUUAGAAGUGCUCUCCAUGGGGGGCAGGAACCAAAUAAGCAGCUAAACCAGCUGUCUAAGUCUCCAUUGAGGGUUGGUGAAAAGAAAAGGUCAAGUUGAAGAUGUGUUGAUUUACCUUAUAAGAGUACUUUGCUUCUGUUUUAGGUAGCUGGUUCUUUAAGGAUGCCGAGAGAAUAACAUGGAACAGGAUGGUCUCCUGCCAAACUGUUGGGAAUUAAGUCAAUCCCACAAUUUUUCAAGCAUUACUUACUAGCUGUUUUCUCACAAAAGCUUCAGGUGUGUGACUUGUAAGCAGCCGUACUGUUGUGAACUUCUGAUUAUUAAACACAUUUGUUGGAAGAA